rnacentral:rRNA from 1 species
AAAUAAUAAAUAAAUUGAUUAAAUUUUAUAUGAAAUUCAAUUAUAAAGUUUAGAAGUAUUGGCGGUGUUUUAUUAAAUUCUGAGAAUCUUGCAUUAUUAAAAUGAUAUUACACAAAUUAUCUUAUCUUAGUUUAAAAAGGUUUAUAUAUUGCUGUUUAAUUUAUGAGUUAAUUAAGGUUAAAUAAAUUAAAUGAUAAAUGAAAUAAAUAAAGAUUUCAAGUCAAAAUGUAGUUUUAUUAAGGUUUUUGUGAGUUGCUUUUUUUUAGAAAAAUAAGAGUGAAUAAGUAGAAUGAAAUAUUUAUUAAAGAUAGGAUUAGGUUGUAAGAGGAGUAUAAAUAAGAAGUUUUUCUGAUAAAUUUUAUAGGCAUGU